ensembl:snRNA U6 U6 spliceosomal RNA
GUGCUCGCUUCGGCAGCACAUGUACUAAAAUUGGAAUGACACACAGAUUAGCAUGGCCCCUUGUGCAAGGCUGACACGCAGAUUCUGAAGGGUUCCAUGUUUUC